UGGACACAUAUUUCUUACUAAAAGGCUCUUCUUUUUCAAGUAGCCUAAUAAAGUAAAGACAUUUUUUCAUUUCUCUCAAAGUAAAACGAAUGAAAAUAUCAUUAUUCCUUCACGCUACCAACGUUCUCAGUUAAAUGCUUUUGUCUAUAGUGUCUUGUCUUUCUUCUAUCUCAGUCCAUCCCCAUCUCAUGCCCCUCUCCAUAUCUUUUUAUCCCACUAGUUCUUUCUGGAGCAGGGGAUGACAGGAAGUUGGCAUGUGAUCAGGACCAUGAGCAGGGUUGCAGUGCUUGAAAGGACAAGGGAGGCCAGGGACAAGUAUGAACAGGGUAGAUCCAACAAGGAGCAUGAAGGAGGUGAUAUGGAUCACAUUCUCAAAAGCUUGGCAGAUGGGAGAGACUGUGGCUUGGAUCACUGUAGUGAAACCAGACCUGACAUCCAUUUCCUUGGCCAGUGGAAUCAGUGUUACCAUCUAAAUAUCCAGGAUCUGCUAAGAGCUGUGAGGUCACUGCAGAGGUGGGACUUCUCUGACCUCCUCAAUGUGUGUUUCAUUUAUACAUAAUAAAGUUGAAUUGCUUUGACUGGUGCCCCUCUCUUUUUCUGCUCAGGUCUUUUGCAACACACUCAGUCGUCACAUCCCUGUGUCCGGUGUGUCCUCUGUCAGACUGUUUUCCACUCCCACUGACCUUUCAUUCUGCUCACACAUCUGUCCUCUCAGUGGACAGGCCUUUGCAUGGUGGUGCUUCUCAUGUUCAACGUGAUCAAUACAAAGAGCAGGGAGUUCGCACACAAUCUCCCACUGACUAAACGAGAAGGAUUAAAGGCUGCAGAUGCCGCCAGGUGGGUGUGGGUGUUCUUUAUGUCUUUGUUGUCUAAAAUAUAUGUGCGUAAAAGCCAAAAAUCACUGUGAGCACACUCAGACACACAUUUUCUGUUUUAUAAGCCAUGAAGAGGAAAAGAGGCCAGAAAGGAAU
rnacentral:lncRNA from 1 species